ACUUACUACCAUACCACCCUGAACACGAUCUCAGAAGCUAACUUGAGCCAGGCCUGGUUAGCAUUUGACUGGCAGACUACCUGGAAACCAGUUGCUGUAGGAU
rnacentral:rRNA from 1 species